rnacentral:rRNA from 1 species
GGGCCCGCACAAGCGGUGGAGUAUGUGGUUUAAUUCGAUGCAACGCGAAGAACCUUACCAGGGUUUGACAUCCUGCGAAUCUCUUGGAAACAGGAGAGUGCCUUCGGGAACGCAGUGACAGGUGGUGCAUGGCUGUCGUCAGCUCGUGUCGUGAGGUGUCAGGUUAAGUCCUAUAACGAGCGCAACCCCUGUUGUUAGUUGCCAGCGAGUAAUGUCGGGAACUCUAGCAAGACUGCCAGUGCAAACUGUGAGGAAGGUGGGGAUGACGUCAAAUCAUCACGGCCCUUACGUCCUGGGCUACACACGUGCUACAAUGGUAGGUACAGAGAGCAGCCAAUGCGCGAGCAUGAGCAAAUCCCAUAAACCGUGGCUCAGUUCAGAUCGUAGGCUGCAACUCGCCUACGUGAAGGCGGAAUCGCUAGUAAUCG